AUUGAACGCUGGCGGCAGGCCUAACACAUGCAAGUCGAGCGGAUGGAGGGAGCUUGCUCCUGGAUUCAGCGGCGGACGGGUGAGUAAUGCCUAGGAAUCUGCCUGGUAGUGGGGGAUAACGUCCGGAAACGGGCGCUAAUACCGCAUACGUCCUGAGGGAGAAAGUGGGGGAUCUUCGGACCUCACGCUAUCAGAUGAGCCUAGGUCGGAUUAGCUAGUUGGUGGGGUAAAGGCCUACCAAGGCGACGAUCCGUAACUGGUCUGAGAGGAUGAUCAGUCACACUGGAACUGAGACACGGUCCAGACUCCUACGGGAGGCAGCAGUGGGGAAUAUUGGACAAUGGGCGAAAGCCUGAUCCAGCCAUGCCGCGUGUGUGAAGAAGGUCUUCGGAUUGUAAAGCACUUUAAGUUGGGAGGAAGGGCAGUAAGUUAAUACCUUGCUGUUUUGACGUUACCAACAGAAUAAGCACCGGCUAACUUCGU
rnacentral:rRNA from 1 species